rnacentral:rRNA from 1 species
CUACGGGACGCAGCAGUGAGGAAUAUUGGUCAAUGGGCGCGAGCCUGAACCAGCCAUCCCGCGUGCAGGAUGACGGCCCUAUGGGUUGUAAACUGCUUUUCUAUGCCAAGAAACCUGAUUACGUGUAAUCAGUUGCCGGUAGCAUAGGAAUAAGCAUCGGCUAACUCCGGCCAGCAGCCGCGGUAAUACGGAGGAUGCAAGCGUUAUCCGUAUUCAUGGGGUUUAAAGGGUGCGCAGGUGGGCUUGUAAGUCAGUGGUGAAAUGCUGCCGCUUAACGGUAGAACUGCCAUUGAUACUGCGAGUCUUGAGUAUGGUUGAGGUAGGCGGAAUGUGUUGUGUAGCGAUGAAAUGCAUAGAUAUGACACAGAACGCCAAUUGCGAAGGCAGCUUACUAAGCCAUUACUGACGCUGAGGCACGAAAGCGUGGGGAGCGAACAGGAUUAGAUCCCCCGUAGUC